AUGCUCAAGAUAGAUCUUGCUAAAGCUUUUGAUCGUCUUGAAUGGAGUUUCAUUGUGUCUGCUCUUGCACAUAAAGGUCUGCAUGGUCAUUUCAUUAAUUUGAUUCAUGCUUGCAUUUCUUCUCCUACUUUCUCUGUGCUUAUUAAUGGGCAGCCUUCUCAUAAAUUUAAAAGUUUCAGAGGUAUUCGUCAAGGCUGUCCCAUGUCGCCUUAUUUGUUUGUUAUUGCUAUCAAUGAAUUAUCUGUUGCUCUUAAUGAAGCUCUAGCUGCUCAUCAUCUCCAGGGUAUUUCACUUGGUCCAGAUUGCCCUUCUAUUCAUUCUCUAUUGUUUGCAGAUGAUCUGUUGGUUUGUGGUCAAGCCACUAUGCAGGAAGCAAAUUCUAUGGCUCAACUCAUCCAUCACUUUUGUUAUAUUUCAGGUCGAACACCAAAUUGGGCCAAAUCUGCUAUUCUUUUUAGUACUCAUGUUAGUCAAACCACUAUUCAAGAGAUUAAGCAAGUUUUUCCUGUUUCUAUCAUGGAUAACAAUUUCACCCACCUUGGUCAUCCGCUUAUUCUUCCUGCUAAAAAUAGAACUGCUGCUUACAACUUGUUAUUGAUAAAUUUCUGA
rnacentral:rRNA from 1 species